rnacentral:ncRNA from 2 species
UAAAAAACGAUGAAAGAGAGCAGUAGCUUAUGUCCGUUUAUGCAGGGAGAAAAUGCCGUGACUGAAAGCAUUUUUAUAAAUGUAAUAAGUGAAUUCACCUCUUGAGUUGACACUUAGACCAUCUUACAUAGAUGUAAAGGUGUUCCGGAGAUUCCGUUAACUUGAAUGAAGUGAACUGUAUGCGUCUGUGUAUAUAGUUAACAAGGGUGGUAACGCGACUAAUCCUCGUCCCUUUU